UACGUAGGGGGCAAGCGUUGUCCGGAAUCAUUGGGCGUAAAGAGCGUGUAGGCGGCCCGGUAAGUCCGCCGUGAAAGUCCAGGGCUCAACCCUGGGAUGCCGGUGGAAACUGUCGGGCUCGAGUCCGGAAGAGGCGAGUGGAAUUCCUGGUGUAGCGGUGAAAUGCGCAGAUAUCAGGAGGAACACCGGUGGCGAAGGCGGGUCUCUGGGCCGAUACUGACGCUGAGGAGCGAAAGCGUGGGGAGCGAACAGG
rnacentral:rRNA from 1 species